GACGAACGCUGGCGGCGUGCCUAAUACAUGCAAGUCGAGCGAAGCGGCGGAUUGGUGAGUAACGCGUGGGUAACCUGCACUUAAGUCUGGGAUAUCAGUAGGAAACAGAUGCUAAUACUGGAUACUAAAGGAUGGCUCUGCGAUGCAUUAGCUAGUUGGUAAGGUAACGGCUUACCAAGGCGAUGAUGCAUAGCCGCUUUGAGGGACUUAGCGGCACAAGUGGGACUGAGACACGGCCCAAACUCCUACGGGAGGCAGCAGUAGGGAAUCUUCCACAAUGGACGAAAGUCUGAUGGAGCAACGCCGCGUGAGUGAAGAAGGUUUUCGGUUCGUAAAGCUCUGUUGUUGGUGAAGCGGUAAUCAACCAGAAAGUCACGGCUAACUACGUGCCAGCAGCCGCGGUAAUUC
rnacentral:rRNA from 1 species